UGGUGGAGUGAUUUGUCUGGUUAAUUCCGUUAACGAACGAGACCUCGACCUGCUAAAUAGUUCGCGUCAGACUUCGGUCUGAUGACAUUUUCGUGACUUCUUAGAGGGACUAUCGGUGUGUAGCCGACGGAAGUUCGAGGCAAUAACA
rnacentral:rRNA from 1 species